rnacentral:rRNA from 1 species
AUUGAACGCUGGCGGCAUGCCUUACACAUGCAAGUCGAACGGCAGCGCGGGAGCAAUCCUGGCGGCGAGUGGCGAACGGGUGAGUAAUAUAUCGGAACGUGCCCAUUAGUGGGGGAUAGCCCGGCGAAAGCCGGAUUAAUACCGCAUACGACCUGAGGGUGAAAGCGGGGGAUCGCAAGACCUCGCGCUAUUGGAGCGGCCGAUAUCAGAUUAGCUAGUUGGGGGGGUAAAGGCCUACCAAGGCAACGAUCUGUAGUUGGUCUGAGAGGACGACCAGCCACACUGGGACGGAGACACGGCCCAGACUCCUACGGGAGGCAGCAGUGGGGAAUUUUGGACAAUGGGCGCAAGCCUGAUCCAGCAAUGCCGCGUGCAGGAAGAAGGCCUUCGGGUUGUAAACUGCUUUUGUCAGGGAAGAAAUCCUUUGGGCUAAUACCUCGGAGGGAUGACGGUACCUGAAGAAUAAGCACCGGCUAACUACGUGCCAGCAGCCGCCGUAA